rnacentral:sRNA from 1 species
AUAGCAUAUAAGGAACAGAUUUGUGAUAGGAGUCUUUAAGCUUAGCACUCAUGUAUAGCUUAAAAGAAAUCUUAUGUUCCGAUGCUAAAUCAAACAUC